AUUGAGCGCUGGCGGCAGGCCUAACACAUGCAAGUCGAGCGGGGUUUUCGGACCUAGCGGCGGACGGGUGAGUAAUGCGUAGGAAGCUACCCGAUAGAGGGGGAUACCAGUUGGAAACGACUGUUAAUACCGCAUAAUGUCUACGGACCAAAGUGUGGGACCGUCGGGCCACAUGCUAUCGGAUGCGCCUACGUGGGAUUAGCUAGUUGGUGAGGUAAUGGCUCACCAAGGCGACGAUCCCUAGCUGGUUUGAGAGGAGGAUCAGCCACACUGGAACUGAGUCACGGUCCAGACUCCUACGGGAGGCAGCAGUGGGGAAUAUUGGACAAUGGGCGCAAGCCUGAUCCAGCCAUGCCGCGUGUGUGAAGAAGGCCUUCGGGUUGUAAAGCACUUUCAGUAGGGAGGAAGCGUUGUGUGUUAAUAGUACACAGCGUUGACGUUACCUACAGAAGAAGCACCGGCUAACUCUGUGCCAGCCGCCGCAGUAACAC
rnacentral:rRNA from 1 species